rfam:Loxodonta africana unplaced genomic scaffold scaffold_16, whole genome shotgun sequence.
CCCUGAGUGGCACAAACAGUUAAUGCACUUGGCUGCUGACCAAAAGGUUGGAGGUUCAAGUCCACCCAGAGGCU